ACGCUCGACACCUACGGGAGGCAGCAGUGGGGAAUAUUGCACAAUGGGGGAAACCCUGAUGCAGCGAUGCCGCGUGAAGGAAGAAGUAUCUCGGUAUGUAAACUUCUAUCAGCAGGGAAGAAAAUGACGGUACCUGACUAAGAAGCCCCGGCUAACUACGUGCCAACAGCCGCGGUAAUCUGAGCGGGCUGGCAAGGC
rnacentral:rRNA from 1 species